CAUUUACCGAAAAAUUAAAUAUUUUCGUAGGGGUUAACCCAUAGAUUUUGAGAAAAAAUUUAAAAAAAAAAUGAAAAUUCUAUUUUAAUGCAUAGUUGCAUCCUUCACUAACAUAUGAUGAAGGUCAAAGAGGUUUGGAACCUUUGUUGUCUUUGUUUUUCUAGAGAAUAGCGAUUUUUAGUGGUUAAUCAACCAAUUUUAUGACUAUUAUGAAGUUUUACGAAAUUUAUUGACAAAAAAAUUAAACGAUGUCCAUGUACAAUGAAAGAGUGUUCAAUAUACAUUAAUACAAAUGUAGAUGUGUUUAGAAAUUUUAAAACAACACUAAAGAUCAUAGGCUUUAGUAUAUAAAACAUUUACAGAAAAAUUAUAUAUUUUCGUAGGGGGUUAACCCAUAGAUUUUGAGAAAAAUU